GACGAACGCUGGCGGCGUGCUUAACGCAUGCAAGUCGAACGGAAAGGCCCUGCUUUUGUGGGGUGCUCGAGUGGCGAACGGGUGAGUAACACGUGAGUAACCUGCCCUUGACUUUGGGAUAACUUCAGGAAACUGGGGCUAAUACCGGAUAGGAGCUCCUGCUGCAUGGUGGGGGUUGGAAAGUUUCGGCGGUUGGGGAUGGACUCGCGGCUUAUCAGCUUGUUGGUGGGGUAGUGGCUUACCAAGGCUUUGACGGGUAGCCGGCCUGAGGGGGUGACCGGCCACAUUGGGACUGAGAUACGGCCCAGACUCCUACGGGAGGCAGCAGUGGGGAAUAUUGCACAAUGGGCGGAAGCCUGAUGCAGCAACGCCGCGUGCGGGAUGACGGCCUUCGGGUUGUAAACCGCUUUCGCCUGUGACGAAGCGUGAGUGACGGUAAUGGGUAAAGAAGCACCGGCUAACUACGUG
rnacentral:rRNA from 1 species